rnacentral:rRNA from 1 species
GAUGAACGCUCGCUACAGGCUUAACACAUGCAAGUCGCGGGGCAGCAUGGGGGUUGCUUGCAAUCCCCGAUGGCGACCGGCGCACGGGUGAGUAACGCGUAUCCAACCUGCCCUUCACCACGGGAUAACCCGGCGAAAGUCGGACUAAUACCGUAUGUUGUCCAUUGACGGCCUCCGAUUUGGACGAAAGGCUUGGCGGUGAGGGAUGGGGAUGCGUCCGAUUAGCCAGACGGCGGGGUAACGGCCCACCGUGGCUACGAUCGGUAGGGGUUCUGAGAGGAAGGUCCCCCACACUGGAACUGAGACACGGUCCAGACUCCUACGGGAGGCAGCAGUGAGGAAUAUUGGUCAAUGGGCGUAAGCCUGAACCAGCCAAGUAGCGUGCAGGAUGACGGCCCUAUGGGUGGUAAACUGCUUUUAUGCGGGGAUAAAGUGGCACACGGGUGGGCUUUUGCAGGUACCGCAUGAAUAAGGACCGGCUAAUUCCGUG